rnacentral:tRNA from 1 species
GGCGACGUAGCCAAGUGGUAAGGCAGAGGUCUGCAAAACCUCUAUUCACCGGUUCGAAUCCGGUCGUCGCCU